rnacentral:rRNA from 1 species
GAGACUCUGUGCGCGUGCAUAUCAAUAAGCGGAGGAAAAGAAACUAACAAGGAUUCCCUUAGUAACGGCGAGUGAAGCGGGAAGAGCUCAAAUUUGAAAUCUUCAAGGUUUUACCUUGACGAAUUGUAGUUUAAAGAAGUGUUUUCUGUUGAAGUUUUGGUAAAAGUUCUUUGGAAUAGGACAUCAUAGAGGGUGAGAAUCCCGUAUUUGACCAUUAUUUUCAGCUGUGUGAUACACUUUCAAAGAGUCGGAUUGUUUGGGAAUGCAGUCCAAAAUGGGUGGUAAAUUUCAUCUAAAGCUAAAUAUUGGCGAGAGACCGAUAGCGAACAAGUACCGUGAGGGAAAGAUGAAAAGAACUUUGAAAAGAGAGUUAAACAGUACGUGAAAUUGUCAAAAGGGAAGCGUUUGACACCAGUGUUGUUUUCUCGAAAAUCAAUUAAAAAGAGUUGGAUUUUGUGUUGUAUUGACCUUAACAGCUUUCUUCACUCUUUUCCUGCUUUUUUUAAUGCACUUUUCGUUUAACAAGUCAACAUCAGUUUCUUUUGUUGUAAAAGGGUCAUUGGAAGGUGGCUUUCUUCUCGGAGAAAGUGUUUAUAGCCUUUGAUCUCUGCAAUCGGAGAGACUGAGGUCUGCAGCGUAGAUCCUUCGGGGUUAGAUACAUUUGUGCUAAGUUAUAGCUUUUCAUAGACAACUUGUUGACUAUGUUUAGUCAUGUAGCUUACUCGCUUAUGCUAUUUUACCUACGCUUAGGAUGUUGAAUCUGUGCGAGACUAC